rnacentral:rRNA from 1 species
UACAGAGGGGGCAAGCGUUGUUCGGAAUUACUGGGCGUAAAGGGCGCGUAGGCGGCCUUCUAAGUCGAACGUGAAAUCCCCGGGCUCAACCCGGGAACUGCGUCCGAUACUGGAAGGCUUGAAUCCGGGAGAGGGAUGCGGAAUUCCAGGUGUAGCGGUGAAAUGCGUAGAUAUCUGGAGGAACACCGGUGGCGAAGGCGGCAUCCUGGACCGGCAUUGACGCUGAGGCGCUAAAGCCAGGGGAGCAAACGGG